AGUGCAUGCACCACCGAGGAACGGAAGGGGGCCCAGCCGACCAAGACACUGUUGUACAUUUUACCAAGAGAUUUAUUCCCAGAGACACCUUCAGAAUGAUGUGUAAUUAGGCUGCAAUCAUGAUACAACACAUGGAAGUGUACUAUUUCUGAAACAU
rnacentral:lncRNA from 1 species